rnacentral:lncRNA from 1 species
GAGACAUUACUUAUGAACAGACGUAUUUAGUAAAAAUAGAGAAAAAAUCGUCACCAGCAGGAUUCGAACCCGGGGCAAAUUGUUGUUCAUACGGUACAUUGAUUUGUUCAUCAAAAUUAUAGAUCUGUUCGUUUUUGUUUCACGAAUUCUCUAUUCUCUAAAUAUUUAGCAUUCUCUGUUGAACCUUUCUCUAUGUAUAUAUAUUGUUUCAUCUACUCUUACUUUUUUUAAUUUGAAUCAGUCAACCAUUUGAAAAACUUAACAUCAAUUAUUUUGUACAGGGCGCUACGAGGCUAGUAGGUUUGAAGUCAAGAGAGACCCGCAUAAACAUUAUUGAUGAUGUUAGUGGCGUCAUCAAGCCUGGAAGGUACAAACACAAAUAGAGAUGGCAAUGGAUUUUGGACCUGUCCAGAUCCGCGGAUCCAGAUCCGUUUUUCAGGGUCUGGAUCUCAAUUUUUUGAAUCCGACGGAUCUGAAUUUGGAUCUCAAUUUUUAAAAUGAAUCUGAAUAUGAUAUUGAUGAGAUCCUGUCCAAAUCCAACCCGUUGCCAUCCCUAUACACAAACAAAAAUGAAGUUUAAUAGUAAUACUCCUAUAAGUUAAUUAUUCAGUUGACACAUAAAAAGGGUAGGUAUUACUUACCUUCCAACUCUAAAUUAUUUUUAUUACUCUUCGGUCAUGUCGUACACUUUUGAUAAUGCUAAAUUAAUACCUGGUUAAUUGUUUUUUAAAAUUAAAUCUAUACAGGAGUACAAAUGUUUUACAAUCAACCUCUAAAAUUUACUAAGAACUUUCGUACUAAAGAAGAAAUUGUUUACAACUACUCAUUUUCUUAUACGCCUAGAUAUUUAUAUUUUAUUUAAUUGAAUGCUAUUGAGUAAUAACAUCAAGGUAUUGAAGCAUACAUCUUACAAAAAUAAAACACAAAAUCUCUUAUACACUCGAGUGUAUCGUACACCCAGGUUGACCCGUACCCAAAUCCUGACCCGCAUGUUAAUCCAAACCAGCAUCUUGACCCAAAUCGUGUAAAUGACACUAUUUAGGGCCUGUUUGAUAUGGGUUUAAAAGCAGGAUAAGUUAAAUUAAUAUGGAUUUAUGUAAUGUUUGAUAUUAUGUGUUACUAAUAUGGUCAACUC